UCAGUUACCAUCUAAGCGAAAGGGGAGCCUUAUGAGUUUGGAGUUUCCUUUUCCCUAACCUAGCUAUAGGGACGAGAAGGGAGAGAGGUGAAUCAUUGUUGGUUGCAGCAUUGGAGAAAUUGAAUCAUUGAUCGAGUGGAAGGAGUGGACUCUGUCUCUCUCUUCGUAUCUUAAAAGACGAGGCCUAGAGAAUGGAGAUCGGAGGUGUCAACUGGUCAAUCGAGAGGAAAGGAAAAAAAGCACCAGCGACGACGCCAGCUGGGUUGAAGGAGGAUCCUAGAUCGUGGCGGUAGCUCGUUUGCGGUGAGAGAAAGAGAGAUUUGCGGUCAGCAGGCGGCUGUACUAAGAGAAGUUGGGAGCUCGCCGGGUCAAUUGGGUUUCGAUCGUUGGCAGCAAGAUCGGUUCACCAGAGCUGGAGGAUGAAGAAGGGUGGCUGCUUCAUUAUUUGCGUGAGUUGGGGGGACUUAUCUGUAGUGUCUAGAAAGUUCAGUGAUCAAUCUGCAACGUCUAGAAACAUAAGUGACCUUUUGAAAUUUGUGUAAAGUUGAGGGACUGAUUUGUAAUCUCUAGAAAGUUUGGUAAUUAAUCUACAAUGACUGAUUUUGCAAUUUGCCAAGCUAGGUAGUAAAAUGAUGAUUUUGCCCCAGCAAGUUUCAUCUUGUUGCAAAGGAGUAAUUAAAGCAUAACUCAUCCGUUUGACCUCCAAAUGAAUCGUCUGAAGCUGUGGAUUUGUGACAGCAAGGGGAAUCGCCUCAUGUCUUGUC
rnacentral:lncRNA from 1 species